GGGUGCGAUCAUACCAACACGAAUGCACCAGAUUCAAUCAAAACUCCGCAGCUAAGCGUGUUUGGGAGAGAGUAGUACUAGGAUGGGUGACCUCCUACGUAGUCCUCUUGUUGCACACC